AACGAACGCUGGCGGCAUGCCUAACACAUGCAAGUCGAACGAGACCUUCGGGUCUAGUGGCGCACGGGUGCGUAACGCGUGGGAACCUGCCCUUAGGUUCGGAAUAACUCCCCGAAAGGGGUGCUAAUUCCGGAUAAUGUCUUCGGACCAAAGAUUUAUCGCCUUUGGAUGGGCCCGCGUUGGAUUAGCUAGUUGGUAGGGUAAAAGCCUACCAAGGCGACGAUCCAUAGCUGGUCUGAGAGGAUGAUCAGCCACACUGGGACUGAGACACGGCCCAGACUCCUACGGGAGGCAGCAGUGGGGAAUAUUGGACAAUGGGCGAAAGCCUGAUCCAGCAAUGCCGCGUGAGUGAUGAAGGCCUUAGGGUUGUAAAGCUCUUUUACCCGGGAUGAUAAUGACAGUACCGGGAGAAUAAGCUCCGGCUAACUCCGU
rnacentral:rRNA from 1 species